rnacentral:rRNA from 1 species
AACGUAGGUACCGAGCGUUAUCCGGAUUUACUGGGCGUAAAGCGCGUUCAGGCGGCUCUGCAAGUCGGGCAUGAAAUCUCUCGGCUCAACCGGGAGGGGUUGUCCGAUACUGCGGGGCUUGAGGGCAGUAGAGGGUGGUGGAAUUCCGGGUGUAGUGGUGAAAUGCGUAGAGAUCCGGAGGAACACCAGUGGCGAAAGCGGCCACCUGGACUGUACCUGACGCUCAAACGCGAAAGCUAGGGGAGCGAACGGG